rnacentral:rRNA from 1 species
AUACGUAGGGUGCAAGCGUUAAUCGGAAUUACUGGGCGUAAAGCGUGCGCAGGCGGUUCGGAAAGAAGGAUGUGAAAUCCCAGGGCUCAACCUUGGAACUGCAUUCUUAACUACCGAACUAGAGUAUGUCAGAGGGGGGUAGAAUUCCGCGUGUAGCAGUGAAAUGCGUAGAUAUGCGGAGGAAUACCGAUGGCGAAGGCGGCCCCCUGGGAUAAUACUGACGCUCAUGCACGAAAGCGUGGGUAGCAAACAGGAUUAGAUACCCUGGUAGUCCACGCCCUAAACGAUGUCAACUAGCUGUUGGGCCCUUCGGGGCUUAGUAGCGUAGCUAACGCGUGAAGUUGACCGCCUGGGGAGUACGGUCGCAAGAUUAAAACUCAAAUGAAUUGACGGGG